rnacentral:rRNA from 1 species
UACGUAGGGUGCGAGCGUUAAUCGGAAUUACUGGGCGUAAAGCGUGCGCAGGCGGCGCCGCAAGUCAGGCGUGAAAUCCCCGAGCUUAACUUGGGAAUGGCGCUUGAAACUACGGUGCUGGAGUGUGGCAGAGGGAGGUGGAAUUCCACGUGUAGCGGUGAAAUGCGUAGAGAUGUGGAGGAACACCGAUGGCGAAGGCGGCAUCCUGGACCGGCAUUGACGCUGAGGAGCGAAAGCCAGGGGAGCAAACGGG